AGUCACUUUAUGGGUAUGAAUAAUUGAAGAGGGACAAAUGAGCUUGGGGGAUUUGAAGUUGGAGAUUUUCUUCUGACACAAAAGGGACCUCUUGCUUCUUGUCAGGACAAAAGGCAAGAUAUCAUCUCCAUAUAAUCACAACCCAAUAAUAAUAACAAUAAUAAGUACUCAAGAAACAAAGACAAAAGGAAAGAAAAAAGAGAGAUUUUGAUUUUUA
rnacentral:misc_RNA from 1 species